rnacentral:rRNA from 1 species
GACGUAGGGCGCGAGCGUUGUCCGGAUUUAUUGGGCGUAAAGAGCUCGUAGGCGGUUUGUCGCGUCGGCUGUGAAAAACCCGCGGCUCAACUGUGGGCGGGCAGCUGAUACGGGCAGGCUGGAGUUCGGUAGGGGAGACUGGAAUUCCUGGUGUGAGCGGUGAAAUGCGCAGAUAUCAGGAGGAACACCGGUGGCGAAGGCGGGGUCUCUGGGCCGAUACUGACGCUGAGGAGCGAAAAGCGUGGGGGAGCGAACAGG